UACGAAGGGGGCUAGCGUUGCUCGGAAUCACUGGGCGUAAAGCGCACGUAGGCGGAUUGUUAAGUCAGGGGUGAAAUCCUGGAGCUCAACUCCAGAACUGCCUUUGAUACUGGAGAGCUUGAGUCCGGAAGAGGUGAGUGGAACUCCGAGUGUAGAGGUGAAAUUCGUAGAUAUUCGGAAGAACACCAGUGGCGAAGGCGGCUCACUGGUCCGGUACUGACGCUGAGGUGCGAAAGCGUGGGGAGCAAACAGG
rnacentral:rRNA from 1 species